GUUCUACUGAGAAGUCCCAUAAUAGGACGAAACGGCCGUCCAGUGC
rfam:Schistosoma rodhaini strain Burundi genome assembly, scaffold: SROB_scaffold0001923